UAAACGACUCUCGGCAACGGAUAUCUCGGCUCACGCAUCGAUKAARAACGUAGCAAAAUGCGAUACUUGGUGUGAAUUGCAGAAUCCCGUGAACCAUCGAGUUUUUGAACGCAAGUUGCGCCCGAAGCCAUCUGGUUGAGGGCACGUCUGCCUGGGCGUCACGC
rnacentral:rRNA from 1 species